UGGGAGCUUGCUCCCUGAAGUCAGCGGCGGACGGGUGAGUAACACGUGGGCAACCUGCCUGUAAGACUGGGAUAACUCCGGGAAACCGGGGCUAAUACCGGAUAAUUCUUUCCCUCACAUGAGGGAAAGCUGAAAGAUGGUUUCGGCUAUCACUUACAGAUGGGCCCGCGGCGCAUUAGCUAGUUGGUGAGGUAACGGCUCACCAAGGCAACGAUGCGUAGCCGACCUGAGAGGGUGAUCGGCCACACUGGGACUGAGACACGGCCCAGACUCCUACGGGAGGCAGCAGUAGGGAAUCUUCCGCAAUGGACGAAAGUCUGACGGAGCAACGCCGCGUGAGUGAUGAAGGUUUUCGGAUCGUAAAACUCUGUUGUUAGGGAAGAACAAGUACCGGAGUAACUGCCGGUACCUUGACGGUACCUAACCAGAAAGCCACGGCUAACUACGUGCCAGCAGCCGCGGUAAUACGUAGGUGGCAAGCGUUGUCCGGAAUUAUUGGGCGUAAAGCGCGCGCAGGCGGUUCCUUAA
rnacentral:rRNA from 2 species